rnacentral:RNase_P_RNA from 1 species
GCAGUGUUCUGGCUCUGUCGCUGGCACAUUAUAAUGUGCGAGAGGAAAGUCCGGGCAGCAUAGGGCGUCCUGCUUCCGAAAAUAGAAGCUAUUGGUAACAGUAGAUGUAGGCAGAAGAAAAAACCGCCAUUCUAAAGAAUUGGUAAGGGUGAGAAGGUGGUGUAAGAGACUACCAGCAGUUGGGUGAUCAGCUGGCUGUGCCGUUCAGGAGCUGCAAGUUCAUGUAAACCGUUGUUAGAGGAUAGUCCCGUCCAAGUCUGUAGACACAACGGAGGGUAGAAUGCUAGAGCUAUGGAGCAAUCCAUAGAGUAGAUAAAUGACAGGCAUAUUGCAUAUUAAAAGAUAUGUAAUACACAGAACCCGGCUUAUAGGAGCACUGCUUUU